CUUAUUGAAGUAGCAUUUAUUUCGACAAAACAGAAAAUGAUGUGUUCUUCAUCCAUUCGACUAUUCAAGGUGUUUUAUAGUGUUCAAUUAUUCAUAUUAUUAUGCGUAACAUUCAAUUCUUCAUGCACAUACGUUAUAAACAUUUUCUCAUGGCAAUUAUUCAUUCAAAUGGCCAGUGCAUAGAAAAGGGGGGUGCUCUUGCAUUCAUGUUUUAUUUGUGUUUGUCAGUUAUAUUUAUCUGGCACAUUGUAC
rnacentral:lncRNA from 1 species